AUUGAACGCUGGCGGCAUGCUUUACACAUGCAAGUCGAACGGCAGCGCGGGCUUCGGCCUGGCGGCGAGUGGCGAACGGGUGAGUAAUGCAUCGGAACGUGCCCAGUAGUGGGGGAUAGCCCGGCGAAAGCCGGAUUAAUACCGCAUACGACCUGAGGGUGAAAGCGGGGGACCGAAAGGCCUCGCGCUAUUUGAGCGGCCGAUGUCGGAUUAGCGAGUUGGUGGGGUAAAGGCUUACCAAGGCGACGAUCCGUAGCUGGUCUGAGAGGACGACCAGCCACACUGGGACUGGGACACGGCCCAGACUCCUACGGGAGGCAGCAGGGGGGAAUUUUGGACAAUGGGGGCAACCCUGAUCCAGCUAUGCCGCGGGCGGGAAGAAGGCCUUCGGGUUGUAAACCGCUUUUGUUCGGGAAGAAAUCCUCUGGGCUAAUACCCCGGGGGGAUGACGGUACCGGAAGAAUAAGCACCGGCUAACUACGUGC
rnacentral:rRNA from 1 species